rnacentral:misc_RNA from 1 species
UGCCUAUUUAGUGUACAGAUAAGAGUUCUGUUAGUUACGGAAAAACCUUCUAAAGCUUUCCUUAAAUUACUCUUUGGUCUUUGCUGUUUAAAAAUUUACUUCUAGUCCCUAUACCAUCAUUAGUGAAAAAUACAAGAUUUUGAGGGAUUGAAGUGUUCUAUAAGAUAAUAAUUCAUGGACUAAAUUGCACCUAAAUUUUAAAUUUUGGGAACUAA